rnacentral:rRNA from 1 species
ACGGAAGGCAGCAGUGAGGAAUAUUGGUCAAUGGGCGGAAGCCUGAACCAGCCAAGUCGCGUGAAGGAUGAAGGUAUUAUGUAUUGUAAACUUCUUUAGCAGUGGAGUAAUAAGGGGAUCGCGAUCCCUGAUGCAAGUACACUGAGAAUAAGGAUCGGCUAACUCCGUGCCAGCAGCCGCGGUAAUACGGAGGAUCCGAGCGUUAUCCGGAUUUAUUGGGUUUAAAGGGUGCGCAGGCGGCUUUUUAAGUCAGUGGUUAAAUCGUGACGCUCAACGUCAUCACGCCAUUGAUACUGGAGAGCUUGAUUGCGGUCGAGGUUUGCGGAAUUCGUUGUGUAGCGGUGAAAUGCAUAGAUAUGACGAAGAACACCGAUUGCGUAGGCAGCAGACCAGGCCGUAAAUGACGCUCAUGCACGAAAGUGCGGGGAUCGAACAGAAUUAGAUACCCUGGUA